rnacentral:snRNA from 1 species
CCGGAGUGGGCCUGCUCAUACGAACUCAUCUCCUGCCUUUUACCGGAUGUGACCGUGAGUUGGCUCAAAAUACUCCAAUACCCUAAUCUUUGGAACAAACCAUCUGGACAUCCAGAAU